UGGGGAAUUUUGGACAAUGGGGGAAACCCUGAUCCAGCCAUCCCGCGUGUGCGAUGAAGGCCUUCGGGUUGUAAAGCACUUUUGGCAGGAAAGAAACGUCAUGGGUUAAUACCCCGUGAAACUGACGGUACCUGCAGAAUAAGCACCGGCUAACUACGUGCCAGCAGCCGCGGUAAUACGUAGGGUGCAAGCGUUAAUCGGAAUUACUGGGCGUAAAGCGUGCGCAGGCGGUUCGGAAAGAAAGAUGUGAAAUCCCAGAGCUCAACUUUGGAACUGCAUUUUUAACUACCGGGCUAGAGUGUGGCAGAGGGAGGUGGAAUUCCGCGUGUAGCAGUGAAAUGCGUAGAUAUGCGGAGGAACACCGAUGGAGAAGGCAGCCUCCUGGGAUAACACUGACGCUCAUGCACGAAAGCGUGGGGAGCAAACAGG
rnacentral:rRNA from 1 species